GGGGAAUAUUGGGCAAUGGGCGCCAGCCUGACCCAGCAACGCCGCGUGGAAAGAAGAAAGCUUUCCGGUUGUAAACUUCUUUUAUCGGGGACGAAACAAAUGACGGUACCCGAUGAAUAAGCCACGGGCUAACUAC
rnacentral:rRNA from 1 species